CAGAAGGAAAAACUUCAGACAGAGCACAGCAGGACAGUAAGCAGGCAAGAAGGCUCAGCAGAAGUUGUCUCUGGACAGGGCUCCAUGCCUUUCUGCAGAGUGGCCUCUUUUCCUCCUUGACAGGGUCUCUGUACCUAACCCUGGCUGGCCUGGAACUCUCUAUGUAGACCAGGCUAGCUUCAAACGCACGGAAACCCACGUGUCUCUGCUUCUGAGUGCUGGGACUAAAGGUAAUGUUGCCACUAUGCUGGGCUGGCCUGGCCCUUUUAUCCUCACAAGAUGUUUCUCUUUCCCUGCUGAAAUGGAUCUUCAAAGACUGGCUGUCUUUCUGUUCACACGCUACAUCUUUAUGGGAGAGCUGUAGGAGAAGAUGCAAGAAAAGAUCUCCCAAGACUGUCUGGUGUAUACUGGUGCUGGGUGGUGGAAGCAGCUUCCGUUGUGAUUCUGAACAUCUUCAGGUCCAGAAAGAGGCAAAGGAGAGUCAAGGGCCCUUUCCUGCGUGAUUUCACCAGCCAUGAGACAGAUGGGGCUGGACCCCUCUUCAGGAGUUCACAGGGUGGAGGCUCCUUUUCGGAUAUCAUGUGGUGGGCACCCCCUAUUCAGGAGCUUGUGGGGUUUGGGAACCCUCCCACAGCUGUGGGAGAGUGAGAUCUGAAAUGACAGUGUCCCCAGGUGAGGAACUGCUGUCAUAUACUUCCCAUUUGUAAAUGUGUGUGCAGUUACCACAAAGGGCUACAUACAGAAACUGCCCAUGCAAACAGAAAAG
rnacentral:lncRNA from 1 species